rnacentral:rRNA from 1 species
GAUGAACGCUGGCGGCAUGCCUAAUACAUGCCAGUCGAACGAGAGGAAGGAAAGCUUGCUUUUCUGAAUCUAGCGGCGAACGGGUGAGUAACACGUAGGUAACCUGCCCAUGUGCCCGGGAUAACUCCUGCAAACGUAUGCUAAAACCGGAUAGGUAGCAGACAAGCAUUUGACUGCUAUUAAAGUGGCUAAGGCCAUGAACAUGGAUGGACCUGCCGUGCAUUAGCUAGUUGGUGAGGUAACGGGCCAUCAAGGCGACGAUGCAUAGCCGGCCUGAGAGGGCGGACGGCGACGUUGUGACUGAGACACGGCCCAAACGCCUACGGGCGGCAGCAGUAGGGAAUUUUCGUCAAUGGGGGAAACCCUGAACGAGCAAUGCCGCGUGAGUGAGGAAGGUCUUCGGAUCGUAAAGCUCUGUUGUAAGAGAAAAACGACAUUCAUAGGGAAUGAUGAGUGAGUGAUGGUAUCUUACCAGAAAGUCACGGCUAACUACGUGCCAGCCGCCGCAGUAACAC